ACUGGCCUCCUUCAGUGCAAAAGUGCACAGCUGACUCCUGGUCAACUUGUCUGCCAGCACCCCUUUUCUGUAAAGCUGCUUUCUAUCCACUUUCUGCCCAGCCUGUUGCUGGGCAUGUUGCAUGACGUUAUUCCAGCUCAGAUGCAAGGCCUCUGCAUUUGCCUUUGUUGAAUUUCAUGAGGUUCCUGUCAACCCCUUUCUGCAGCCUGUCAAGGUCCCUCUGAAUAGCAGCUUUACCUUCCAGAGGACUGAAACCCUCCUUCCCCCAAUUGGUAUCAGACAAUAGCUUGUUGAGAGCACACUCUAGGCCAUUAACAAACACAUUAACAGUUUUGGCCCCUGUAUCAGUCCCUGAGGAAUGCCACUAGCAACCAGCCCCCAGCUGGACUUUGCACAGCUGAUCACCACCCUUUGUGCCCAGCAGCCCGGUCAAUUAUCCAUCCACCUUAUGGCCCAUUUAUCCACUCUGUAUUUCACCAAUUUGUCUUUGAGGGUACUGUGGGAGACCUGGUUGAAGACCUUGCUAAAAUCAAAGUAAACAACAUGCACUGUUCUCCCCUCCCCUAGUUUGCUGAACUAGCCUUCUCAUCAAAGGUUUGCCCUGGCUGUUCUCAAUCACUUGUGUCCCUCAAGAGCUUGGAAAUGGCUUCCAGGAGUAUUUGUUCCACAGACACCCUCAGGCCGACACCCUUAGGCUGACAGACCUGUAGUUUCCUGGAUCCUCAUCCUUGUUGAAGUUGCAGCAAUUAAAUUUAGUGCAACUUCCUUGGUAUACUGUGCAAAGAGAAAUGACUACUUAUGGUUUUAAGUGGUCUGUGUCUGACAUCUCAGAAUGUGUAUGUAUGUGUGCAGGAGAAAGAAGUCAAGGCAUUUGGAAGACUGAGAUUGAAAAACGUAGAUAACCUAAGGAAAAAUGAGGCAAACAAGCAUUUCAAAGAACACUUUGAACUCCGGGGUGUCAACACGUGUUGCCACAAUAGAUAAAUGCUUCCACAGAUUUAAAU
rnacentral:lncRNA from 1 species